rnacentral:piRNA from 1 species
UGGCACAUCCACAGAAUGGGGUGCAGUGC